rnacentral:lncRNA from 1 species
CGCCAAAAUAAAGCCGAGGCCGAGAGGAGUCGAUCGGCACCAAGAUCAGCGACCACCGACGCCGGAAACGCCCGCACGGCGGCAAGGAAGCUUCGGCCAUCUUCCUCCUCGCGCGAGAGCUGCUGCCGUCGCCCGCUGGUGCCGCUGACGCCUGCAGCUUCGCCGGCCAGCCCCGCGCCCCCGGACAGACGGCCCCGAUGCCGCAGCUCCUCCUCCGCGC